rnacentral:lncRNA from 1 species
AUUUUCUUACUAAAUUGUAGGCAUUUUAUUUAUAUAUUUAUUUGUUUGUUUAUUUUUCUUUCAAGGAGAUAGAUGGAAAACUAUCCUAAGAUUACAUGCUGAUUGGAAAUUCUGGAGUUUGCUUAACCACUUUUCAGAAGCUUAAGAAGUGACAACAAGAAGCUGAUCUAGUCUGUGUGCAAAUCCUCAUGCAGUUCUGGAUCGAUGGAUG